rnacentral:rRNA from 1 species
UACGGGGGGGGCAAGCGUUGUUCGGAAUUACUGGGCGUAAAGGGUCUGUAGGUGGCCAAUUAAGUCAGACGUGAAAUCCCUCAGCUUAACUGGGGAACUGCGUCUGAGACUGGAUGGCUCGAGUGCAAGAGAGGAAUGCGGAAUUCCAGGUGUAGCGGUGAAACGCGUAGAUAUCUGGAGGAACACCGGUGGCGAAGGCGGCAUUCUGGACUGCAACUGACACUGAAAGACGAAAGCCAGGGGAGCAAACGGG